UCAGCAGCUCUCAUUGCACCAUCCCAGCCUCUGUUCUUCCGGCAUCCCUCCACCUCCCCUUCUCCUCCUCUGUUUCUGUUAUUCUCCCUCUAGAUAAUAUCGCAACGGGGGGGUCGAACUCUGCGCUCAAGCCGAGCCUCAGGUUCGAGCCUCCAUUAAGGACAGCAAGCCAAGUUUGUUUACCAUUGCCCAUAAGGACUGGAUGGGCAGGCGAACUUGUGAAUCCUGUAGUGAAAACAAGUUGCAAUAGUCACAUGACAUUUACAGCUGGAAGCUGAAAGUGAGUCGGCAGCAGAACCGAACGCCCAUGAGCAGAGAUGGCAGACUUUAUCUAAUGUUCUUCAGCAGCUGCCAUUGAGAGUAAUGUGAAUGCUGGUGGUCAGAUCUCUACAGAACAUGACGUUGUUGUAAAUUUCACAACGACGGUGCAACACUGACACCCGGCGGGCAAUAGAUGUAUUUCACACACGCUUCAUCCCUGUUAUCCACAUUUUCAUCAUCUCACCAGAUAUUGCUGUGCUGUUUAUGAGGAACAAUACACCAAAUAUGAAGCAUAAUGACUCAUUGAGCUCUCCAGGGAUUCAAUGAACUCAUCUGUGAAUGUUUAGAGACUAUGAAUGAUUGAGACGCACAAAAUCAAAGCUGUUUUUGUCAGUAUGUGAUGAAAUGCUCAAGGCGGAUGAUGAAAAUACUAAAAUAACACUUAAAUCUCCUUUUCAUUCCUAGGAAUCGUAUUAAUUUGAGGCUCAUCGAGUGUCUGCAGGGUAUUUCAGCAUGUUUAGUCUCACAUAUAAACUGUCAGAUGAGAAAAAAUGUAUUAAUUAAAUAGUUUUGUGCUUAAACAUUAACUGUAGGAGUAUGACUCGGCAAGAAGGAAUUGCCACACAGAGUCCUAGGAAGUUACUUAUUGACUUUGAAUUGCUUUUUACUUUGUCUAUUCUUGUGUUUUUAUUAUUAGGGCCCGAGCCCUGAAAGGGCGAGAGCCCUAUUGUUUUUCGAAGGAUUCUUCUUCUUCUUCUUAUUUAUUUAUUUAUUUAUUUAUUUUUUUUUUUUCAAGGUUUUGGGGGGUUUUGGGGCCCUUAACAUGCUCAAAAACUCUUGAAAAUUGGCACACAGCUUGGAAUCUGCGGCCAUUAGGACGCCCCAGAGGCUGGGACCCGGGCGUGGUACAGGGGCUCUACUACUUUUUAAAUCUUGAUGUAUAUCCCGCACAUACUUGCACAUAUACAUAUGAAACUCGGUACACAUAUAGAUCUCACUGAGCCGAACAACUCACGCACUCUGUGUCAUGAGCUAAUCCCAACAGGAAGUGAGCUAUUCAGGGCUGUUUAAAAAGUGCAUGCUCUGGAAUUUGAUAUACUAAUCCUAGGUUUUUUACCCAACUGCCACCAAACUCGGUCAACCUGAUCUGAAGACAUUGGGGAUGAAAAAUUGUGAGGGGAUUCUUGAUAUCUCGAACGGUUUGGCCGUGGCGAGGCGUUGAAAUUAUGGCGAGAAAUGAGAAACAGGAAAUGGCUAAUAACUACUGCACACAUUGUCUGAUUUGGAUGAAACGUCAGAGGUUUGUUCAUUGUAUGAUGUCGAUCACAUAGAUGUGACUAUUAGGAGUCACAGUUAUAGCGCCACCAACUGGCAACAGGAAGUGUGUCUCUUUUAAAAAUGCUUUGAUAUCACAUGGUUAAUUUUACCCGAUUUGCUUCAGACUUCAUCAGAAUAAUGUCAAAACAAGGUCGAUCAGAAUCUGUAAAGGGGUCGUUGAUACAUUAAAUGUUGUUGUCAUGGCAACGUGUCAAACUUUAACAUUUGUUUCCUGUGUUUUUGGGGCACUUAAUAAGGUUGGAUUUUCAUGAAACUCAACACACACAUCAGUAUUAAUGACAGUUAGACACUGGCAAAAGGUCAUAAAUGGGCGUGGAGGAGGCGCUCUAUAGCGCCACCUUUUGUCAAAAGUGGGGUGGUUAGUUUUAGCUACAGACACCAAACUCGGUAUGUAUAUUGGUCUCAUCAAGCCGGACAACUUUCUAAUUUACAUCCAUUAGCUGCGACCAACAGGAAGUCUGCUAUUUUGAUUUAAAUGUGGAUUUUUGUAAAAAUCAGGCUAUAAAUAAAUUCAUACUCCUCCAAGCAGGAAUAAGUAGGUCACACCAAACUUUGUCAACAUGAUGCCAACAUACUGAAGAUGUUAAAUUGUGAGCAGAUUUGGGAUAUCUUGAACGGCUGAUUUAUGGUGAUUUAUUAAAGUAGCAGUAAAAAACAUAUCCAUAAUCUUUAAAAUGCAGCAUCCAAACACUUCAAAACUUUUUACAUACAUAGAACUAGUCAUUCUGAGAAAUAAAUGCUUACUUCCAUCGAUAUAAAAUAAUCAACAAAAAAUAGACAAUUAAAAAACUAUUAAACAUCUGCUCUCACUCUAACUCUCUCACUCUAACUCUGUGUCGGGGGAAGGGAUUAAGUCUGUGUAUGUGUGUGUGUAAGUGUGACUGGGGGUUGUUGAGUGGCUGUGUGUGUAUGUGUGUGUGUGUGUGUGUGAGAGAGAGAGACUGAGAGAGACAGAGUGCAUUUAAAGUGCAUUAUCCUAACUCUUCACAACUUUUUACAUAUGAAAAACAAGUCAUUCUUAGGAAAUGUGUUUAUCAUGUUUUCAGAGACUGCAAAAACAUUUGAAAUA